AUGGCCUGGUGGAAAUUAUGUGUACCAAAAAAUCAAGGAGGGAUGGGAUUUCGUGAUGUUCGCUAUUUCAAUUUGGCAUUGUUAGCCAAACAAGCAUGGCGUCCUUUGGAUAAUCCUGAUUCUUUGUGUGCUUCUAUCCUAAGGGCAAAAUAUUACCCCUAUGGCGAUCUGUUAAAUGCUAAGCUUAAGAAAGGUUCUUCCUUUACAUGGCAAAGCAUCAUGACAGGCAUAAAUACUCUGAAACAUGGUUAUAUUUGGCGUGUGGGGAACGGACAUAACAUUAAUAUUUGGGAAGAUGCGUGGAUCCCAAACUAUGUCACUAGGAAAAUUGUAACACCUAAGGGAGGUAACCUGUUAACUAAGGUAGGUGAUCUCAUUGAUCUGUCUAAUACUUGGGAUGAAGACCUGAUUAGGCAAACUAUGUGGCCGAUCAAUGUACAAAGGAUUCUCUCAAUUCACCUACCGCAAUAUGAUAUGCAAGACUUCGUUGCCUGGAAUUAUACAAAAAAUGGAAUAUUCUCAGUUAGGUCAGCCUACUAUGUGGAGUUGAAUCACCAGUAUGGAAGUAAAUUGGAACACUCUAAUGGUAUGAGGCGAACCACAGUUAAUCCUAUUUGGAGUAAGAUAUGGAAAUCAGCAUGUCCGGCAAAAGUUAAAAUAUUCUUAUGGCGUACGCUACAUGGUACUAUCCCGUGCAGAGUUACGCUAGCUAAUAGACAUAUGAAGGUUUCACCCAUCUGUCCAAUUUGCUAUGAGGGCUUAGAAGAUACAAAACAUAUGUUGUUCUGAUGUACUAAAGCAAAGGAGGUUUGGAAAAGACUGGGACUAAAUGAUAUCAUUGAAAAAGCUUGCGAGAUUGAUCGUGCGGGAGAGGCGGUGCUGGAAUACUUACUAAUCCUACCAAAUCAAGAUUUGUGGAUAUUGGGUUGCCACAAUGUACGUGAGAUGAUUGCUAUCUCAGCAUGGUACCUAUGA
rnacentral:rRNA from 1 species